GAUGAACGCUGGCGGCGUGCCUAAUACAUGCAAGUCGAACGCUUCACUUCGGUGAAGAGUGGCGCACGGGUGAGUAAUACAUAAGUAACCUGGCAUCUACAGGGGGAUAACUGAUGGAAACGUCAGCUAAGACCGCAUAGGUGUAGAGAUCGCAUGAACUCUAUAUGAAAAGUGCUACGGGACUGGUAGAUGAUGGACUUAUGGCGCAUUAGCUUGUUGGUAGGGUAACGGCCUACCAAGGCGACGAUGCGUAGCCGACCUGAGAGGGUGACCGGCCACACUGGGACUGAGACACGGCCCAGACUCCUACGGGAGGCAGCAGUAGGGAAUUUUCGGCAAUGGGGGAAACCCUGACCGAGCAACGCCGCGUGAAGGAAGAAGUAAUUCGUUAUGUAAACUUCUGUCAUAGAGGAAGAACGGUGGAUAUAGGGAAUGAUAUCCAAGUGACGGUACUCUAUAAGAAAGCCACGGCUAACUACGUG
rnacentral:rRNA from 1 species